GACGAACGCUGGCGGCGUGCUUAACACAUGCAAGUCGAACGGAAAGGCCCUGCUUUUGUGGGGUGCUCGAGUGGCGAACGGGUGAGUAACACGUGAGUAACCUGCCCUUGACUUUGGGAUAACUUCAGGAAACUGGGGCUAAUACCGGAUAGGAGCUCCUGCUGCAUGGUGGGGGUUGGAAAGUUUCGGCGGUUGGGGAUGGACUCGCGGCUUAUCAGCUUGUUGGUGGGGUAGUGGCUUACCAAGGCUUUGACGGGUAGCCGGCCUGAGAGGGUGAACGGCCACAUUGGUACUGAGAUACGGCCCAGACUCCUACGGGAGGCAGCAGUGGGGAAUAUUGCACAAUGGGCGGAAGCCUGAUGCAGCAACGCCGCGUGCGGGAUGACGGCCUUCGGGUUGUAAACCGCUUUCGCAUGUGACGAAGCGUGAGUGACGGUAAUGGGUAAAGAAGCACCGGCUAACUACGUG
rnacentral:rRNA from 1 species